rnacentral:misc_RNA from 1 species
GAUGAAGAACGCAGCGAAAUGCGAUAAGUAGUGUGAAUUGCAGAAUUCAGUGAAUCAUCGAAUCUUUGAACGCACAUUGCGCCCCUUGGUAUCCCGAGGGGCAUGCCUGUUCGAGCGUCAUUUCGCCACUCAAGCCUGGCUUGGUGUUGGGCGACGUCCCCUUUGGGGACGCGCCUCGAAACGCUCGGCGGCGUGGCACCGGCUUUAAGCGUAGCAGAAUCUUUCGCUUUGGAAGUCGGGGCCCCGUCUGCCGGAAGACCUACUCGCAAGGUUGACCUCGGAUCAGGCAGGGAUACCCGCUGAACUUAAGCAUAUCAAUAAGCGGAGGA